AAUAUUGGACAAUGGGGGCAACCCUGAUCCAGCCAUGCCGCGUGUGUGAAGAAGGNCUNNGGAUUNUNAAGCACUUUAAGUUGNNNNNAAGGGUUGUGGCUUAAUACUCUACAAUUUUGACGUUACCGACAGAAUAAGCACCGGCUAACUCUGUGCCAGCAGCCGCGGUAAUACAGAGGGUGCAAGCGUUAAUCGGAAUUACUGGGCGUAAAGCGCGCGUAGGUGGUUCGUUAAGUUGGAAGUGAAAGCCCCGGGCUUAACCUGGGAAUUGCUUUCAAAACUGACGAGCUAGAGUACGGUAGAGGGUAGUGGAAUUUCCUGUGUAGCGGUGAAAUGCGUAGAUAUAGGAAGGAACAUCAGUGGCGAGGGCGACUACCUGGACUGAUACUGACACUGAGGUGCGAAAGCGUGGGGAGCAAACAG
rnacentral:rRNA from 1 species